UACGUAGGGUGCAAGCGUUGUCCGGAAUUAUUGGGCGUAAAGAGCUCGUAGGCGGUUUGUCGCGUCUGCUGUGAAAACUCGGGGCUCAACUCCGAGCUUGCAGUGGGUACGGGCAGACUAGAGUGCGGUAGGGGAGACUGGAAUUCCUGGUGUAGCGGUGGAAUGCGCAGAUAUCAGGAGGAACACCGGUGGCGAAGGCGGGUCGCGGGGCCGUAACUGACGCUGAGGAGCGAAAGCACGGGGAGCGAACAGG
rnacentral:rRNA from 1 species